rnacentral:rRNA from 1 species
AAUGGUCGAAAGACUGACGCAGCGACGCCGCGUGCGGGAGGAAGCCCUUCGGGGUGUAAACCGCUGUUACUCGGGACGAACUUCCCGAUUUAUCGGGAUUGACGGUACCGGGGGAGGAAGCACCGGCUAACUCUGUGCCAGCAGCCGCGGUAAUACAGAGGGUGCGAGCGUUGUCCGGAAUCACUGGGCGUAAAGGGCGCGUAGGCGGCUUUUCAAGCGUGCGGUGAAAGCUCGGGGCUUAACUCCGAGUCUGCCGGGCGAACUGGGAGGCUUGAGUCUGGUAGAGGUCGAUGGAAUUCCGGGUGUAGCGGUGGAAUGCGUAGAGAUCCGGAAGAACACCGGUGGCGAAGGCGGUCGACUGGGCCAGAACUGACGCUGAGGCGCGACAGCGUGGGGAGCAAA